rnacentral:misc_RNA from 1 species
UUAAGUUCAGCGGGUAGUCCUACCUGAUUUGAGGUCAAAUUGGUCAAGUAAAUUGUCCUUGCGGACGGUUAGAAGCAAGCAUGAGUCCAAUCCACGGCGUAGAUAAUUAUCACACCUGUAGUAGUUUCUUCUGCUCAGAUACCACUAAUGCAUUUCAGGGGAGCCGACUUCAAAUCUGCAGAAGCCCGCAAAAAUACCCC